AUCUGUGGCCAUACUGCCCUGAACACACUUGAUCUUCUCUGAUCUCAGAAGCUAAGCAGGGUCAAGCCUAGUUAGUAUUUGGAUGAAAGAAAUGGAAGUUGUUCGAAUU
rnacentral:rRNA from 1 species